CCGAGUUUUGGUACCCUUUGGGUACCAGCUCCCACCAAUUGUGAACCUUUUUCGUUGCCUCGGCGUACCUGAUGGUACCCAUCCUCUGGCCUUCCAGCUGGGGAGUGUACGCCGAUGGAUUUUCAAACCCGAUUUUAACUUUGAAAUCUGAGUAAAACAAAAUAAAAACA
rnacentral:misc_RNA from 1 species